CUACGGGAUGCAGCAGUUAAGAAUCUUCCGCAAUGGACGAAAGUCUGACGGAGCGACGCCGCGUGGGUGAAGAAGGCCGAGAGGUUGUAAAGCCCUUUUCUGCUUGAGGAAUAAGCCUGGUAGGGAAUGACCGGGUGAUGACGGUAGGGCAGGAAUAAGCCCCGGCUAAUUACGUGCCAGCAGCCGCGGUAACACGUAUGGGGCGAGCGUUGUUCGGAAUCAUUGGGCGUAAAGGGCGUGUAGGCGGAAAUGCAAGUCUGGUGUGAAAGACCGCAGCUCAACUGCGGGGACGCGCUGGAAACUGCAUAUCUUGAGUUCCGGAGGGGGAGUUGGAAUUCCUGGUGUAGGGGUGAAAUCUGUUGAUAUCAGGAAGAACAUCGGUGGCGAAGGCGAACUCCUGGACGAGAACUGACGCUGAGGCGCGAAAGCGUGGGGAGCGAACAGGAUUAGAUACCCUAGUAGUC
rnacentral:rRNA from 1 species